CAGAGAGAGAAAAACAUUAUCUCUUUCUCUCUUUCUCCGCCUCUCUUUCUCCUUCUCCCUCAUAUUUUCUCUCCUUACUGGAACUCAAAAAAAUCCCCUGAACCUAUCAAAAAUAAACCCUAAAACCUGCGAUAAAUCAAUAACCUUAUCUCACAUCUGCAAACCCAUUUUUCAGAAAUCAAUACCAUCUUUGAAUGACCUGAUUUCGCGAACCCAGUAGAUUCAAGUAGAAACCCUAGAAAGUUGAGGACAAGAAUCAGGUAGAAAUUGGUAGAGCUUUAUGGGUUUUUCAUGGUGGAUGGAAAUUUUGUUGAAGAUAUUGGCUUCAGAUGUUGGUGGUUGAUGGUAUUUUUCUUGUAAUUGUUGGUGGUGGUAGUUUGAUGGUGAAGCUUGUGGUUCUGUAGAUGUUGGUGUUAUGGGUGGCUGUAAGUGUUUCUCAUGGUAGCUUUGGUGAUAGUGACUGCCGGACUUUCUCUUGUUGGUGGUGAACCAUUGCUCUACUGGAGGUAAUCGCGGUUGGGUUACAUAGGAUUGAUUUGAAGCUGAUGUGCUUUGUUGAACGUUCUGCAGUGUGUCCAUGGCAUUCUGCUUUGGUUGUUCAGAUAAAGUCUUCUACCAAUGGUGGAGUUCAGAAAGCUCGAGGUUGUAACGUCGAGAAUCGAAAAAUGAUUAGACAAACAACACUUUUGUGUUGCUACUGCUGUGAGUAUAUUGCAGGAGUUGCAAUAGCUAGUCUUAUUGGAGUCUCAUGUCUGGUUCCGACAAGGCAGAUGAAAGUAUGGUUGAGGUCGGUGAGGAUCUGUUAUGUGAAAGACUGAUGUGAAUGAUAAUUACGUGAGAAGUGGGAUAAGGCUCACAAUUCGAUGCUCAUCUCUAUGAUUCCACGCUGAAACGUACUUCACCGCUGGAGGCUAUUAGUGCAAGGAAGUUCAUCCCAUCGCACUCGGGAAGCUCAUGAGCAUUGCUCAAGUGAUGAAAUCAGAAUUUGCUGACAAGGAUUACUCACUUCCUGACAUUAGAGGAGUUGGGACCGUCUGGGAUGCUGCUGAAUUCAUUCUUAUUGGAGCAAAUAUAGUUCUGGUUUGAAGCAUAAUUAGAAUUUUUCUUUGCAUGUCCAGGUUUGAGAGGUUUGACUAAGCAAUCUUGUACAUUUUCUUGGAUGUAAAUUGAUAGGAUGGUGGUUCACUAAAUGGGGGAAGGGACUAUGGUGCCAAAGCUGAAUGUAAUACAUGACUGAAAAGUUCACGGGUCUUUAGCUUAUGCUGGAAAAGUUAAGAGGAUCAACGUUGGUCAAAUUAUCUUGAAACACCUCGAUAUGGAAAGGGAAGCGAGACACCAAUGCAUCCUUCAUGAACUCCACUGCAUCAAGCAACACCGAUACACAAUGGUACGCGAGCACAUACGCGAAAAUCCUUAUGCUCCCAUGAGUCUUGCAAGGUUGUCGCUAUAUCACCUUAGCUCAUAAGCUUCAACUGGCUGUUAUCUUUAUUGAAGACAUUGAUAGCUUUUUGGGGUAUCAUCGUGCAACGAACUGCGAAGCUUUGACAAACAUGAAAAAAGAGUUCCAUGGUUUGCGACUCUACAAGUUACAGGUAUUUCUGGAUAUUGUGGAACUGUGAAUCUUCUUAUGUCCUCAAAAGUGUUUUGCGUUGUGACGGGACUGGUAAAAUUCUCAUGAAAUGAUCUCUCUGUUUGAUACCUUCAUGGAUGCCGACACUCUGUUCCCGAUGGUGGUAAGAUCGUUGCUCCUGCUGGAUGUAGAAAUGGUUGAAAGAGUUGUGCGUCUACAGUUCUGCUCUCACGCAAGCUAGUGCCAAGAUCCUAAUGACUGAAAUUCUUGUUGAAAUUCUCAGGACUUGUAUCACUUAAGAAACCUUAAUAAUUAGAAGUUUUUUGUAAUGAUUUUGGACUCAAUUUAUGAGUAUAGUUCAAUCAAUGUAUCGAGAUGUCAUUUGGUAUUAGACGAAUCAGGUUCCAUAUAGAAUUUGAAUUUGAAUUUCACUUGAAUUUGAGAACUUGAGUAAUUGUCAUUUGAAUUUGAAUUGUGAUUUGACUUUGAA